rnacentral:rRNA from 1 species
AACGCGAAGAACCUUACCCGGGCUUGAACUACAGAUGGUAGGUCCCUAGAAACAGGGGCCGACCCGCAAGGGAGUCUGCAGAGGUGCUGCAUGGUUGUCGUCAGCUCGUGUCGUGAGAUGUUGGGUUAAGUCCCGCAACGAGCGCAACCCCUAUCCAAUGUUGCUAAUCCCGCAAGGGAUGCACUCUUUGGAAACUGCCUUCGAUAAGAAGGAGGAAGGUGGGGACGACGUCAAAUCCUCAUGGCCCUUAUGUCCGGGGCUACACACGUGUUACAAUGGCCGGUACAGAGGGAAGCAAUACCGCAAGGUGGAGCCAAACUCAAAAAGCCGGCCCCAGUUCAGAUUGUGGGCUGCAACUCGCCCACAUGAAGGCGGAAUCGCUAGUAAUCGCAGAUCAGCAGGCUGCGGUGAAUACGUUCCCGGGCCUUGUACACACCGGCUAC